UUCUUCAAACCUAAAGAAUUUGGCGGUGUUUUAUUCUUUUCAGAGGAACUUGCCCCGUUAUCGAUAAUCCCCGUUAUAUCUUGCUUGAUUUAUUAGUAUGUAUACCGCCGUUAUAAGUUUAUUUUUUGAGAAUUUAAUUUACUGAAAUUUUUAUUAAAAUUUAUUUCAGGUCAAGGUGCAGCUUAUAAUUAAGUGGAGGUGAGUUACAAUGUUUCAAAUAAACGGAUUAGAUUUAUUUAAAUUGUUUAUAAAGGUGGAUUUGUUAGUAAUUUUAUUUAUAGUUUUAUUAUGAUUUUAGCUCUAAAACAAGUACACAUCGCCCGUCGCUC
rnacentral:rRNA from 1 species